rnacentral:lncRNA from 1 species
GAUAACAUAUGUAAAGGUUAAAUUCAAUUAAUGAAGGUUGGUGUUAUAUUUUAGUUACUUAGCUUAAUAAAUGUUGAAGUUGGGAUUUCAUUACUUGAAUGUUGUUUUGUCUUUUUCAUUAAGAUUUUAUUUACAUUUUUGCUCAUUGUUUCAACAUUUUUAAUUAUACAUACUUCUUGCUCGUUGAAUUUUAAACUAAAUUGGCCAAUGAGAAAACUCUCCGUCGAUUUUGGAGGCCUUCCCAUUUUAGAAAGACGGAAUUUUAACUCAAGUUUAUAUAUUUUAAUUGUUAAAAGGGCCGAUGAAAAAUCUAUCCGUCGGGUUUAGAGGCCUUUCCAUUUCAAAAAGACGGAAUUUUAACUCAAGUUUAUAUAUUUUAGUUGUUAAAAGGGCCGAUGAAAAAUCUAUUCGUCGGGUUUAGAGGCCUUCCCAUUUUAAAAAUACGGAAUUUUAACUCAAGUUUAUAUAUUUUUGUUGUUAAAAUGGCCAAUGAAAAAUCUAUCCGUCGGGUUUAGAGGCCUUCCCAUUUUAAAAGACGGAAAUCUAAUUUAAAGUUUAUAUAUAAUUUUAGUUAUUGCAAUUGGCCGAUGAAGAAAUUACCGUCGAUUUCCAAGGCCUCCCAUGUUAAUAAGACGGAUUUUUAUUUUUAAUUAUUAUUUGGUUUAUUCAAUUUUAAUCAUAUUUAUUCUUUACUAACACUUUUACUAAGUGUGUUUACAGGUACCCGGAUGUGCUUUUCCUUUUAUUUCAUUAUUGUAAAUAUUGACGUUAGGCAAACCUUAGGCCGAUAAUUAUUAUUUUAUUUUAUUGUGCAUAUUAAAUGUUUAUUAUACUUGUACUUUAUUUUAUAUUCUUCCUCAAUUUGAAAAAAAUGAAUUCAGUCGGGAAUCACAUUUGUGGAUUCCGAAGGGUGCCUAACCCCUUCCCUUCGGAAUAACUUGAACCCCUUACCUAGAAUCAAUUUGGUUUCGUAGAUUAAUAAUUGGUUUUCUAGUUUUCCUAAAAUUAGGUGGCGACUUUUUUUUAAAACUCGUUUAUUUUUAAAACUUUGUUAAAAUUGAACAAUUAAUUAUUUUCUAGUUACCGCGACGUUUCGCCCUAUUUCGAAAGAUUAGGGAUGUAAACAGAAUGGCGACUCUGUUGGGGAGUUUAGAGGUUUUAACCAAUAUGAAUUUAAUGUUUUUUUUUUCAAAUUGAGGAAAUUUUUGUUAUGUUAUAACUUGUAUUUUUAUAUUUUGCUGAUUAUUUGUAUAUUGUAUUUAUUUAUUAUUUAUUUAUUUUGUGUAUAUUAUCAUUGCAUUUCAUGACAUAAUUUUCAUCAACUGACAAAUAGUCUGCAUUAGGACAUAAGAAGUUUAUGUGGCUUACCACGACUUCCUUCAGAAAAACACACAAGUCUAAUCUUUGGAAGUAAUAAACGAAUAGUUGGCUUGCGGUCAUCCAACGCCGUUUAUUAGCUUCACCCCGUUGUCUGUCCGACUCGGGUAACCGUCACUUCUAUACCAAUUCUAGUCACCCUAGGAUAGAGCAAAACCAAAUCCGAAUUUAAGUAUCAGCCUAAGAUGACUCAACACCCAAGGCGUGUUGAGUCCAUUAGAAAGACCACCUUGAGUCCAUAAUGGCUUCUAGCCUAAAAGGACGACCAUAAUUGUGUGUAAUUUGAAGGAUGUAUACAUCUUUUGACAAACCACAGUACAUCUGAAUUAGAAGGUUAUUUUAAUAGUUUACAUUUGUCAAGCUCGAGUUUUCAGAAGCUAUCAUUCCAUUUAAAGGUGUUGACAAUCGGAGAUGACAAGAAUUUCAAGAGGAAGACCCUUCGACAAAGGCUUAGAAUAGGAUGGUACCCUACGUGAGAUUGAAUAUUUGUAAUUUUUUUCCCUUCUUUCUUUUCAUUUGACUUUAUAAUUCUAUUUCAUUUGUUCAUAAAUUGUACUAAGUGUUUUGGGGGACAAUGGAAAGUUGUCAAAAGACGUUAUACAUCCUUCGAAUCGAUAGGCCUAAGGCAUAAAAGGGUCACAUAUUUGUAUAGGACGCGCCAUAAUUAUUUGUAUGAUAUGUGAUAUAUUUCAGUUUGUCUUUAAUAAAAACAGUGUUUAUGUGUUUUAUUCAUUAUUUGUGUGAUAUUUUACAUUAUUCAUUAUGUACAGGUAUUAACACUUUUACAUUUUGAGUUGUUCUUCUUUACAGCGAAAAUUAAUUUAUGUUCAAAUUCAGAAAUCACUUUUUGUCCGAAGUCACAAGAGACAAGAGGAUUAAAAAAAUUUGAGUCCUUGUAUUUCACAAGACGUUAAUAUCAAGUCAAAAAAUGAUAAAUCAGGGGAGUAUUUGACUAUAAGGUCGCAUCUACUUAUUUUUUUUAUUAUUUUGCAUGACGGUCCUGCUCUCACAUAUUUCUCAUAUUUUUGUAGGAAUACCGUCCCCGACAUCAGUCGGGGAUGGUCAUAACAGUAUUUGGAUCUCGUGAAAAUUGGAAGGAGACAAAGAUCCAAGAAAACAUCCAAAAAGAGUACAACAAAUCACUACUGUAGAAAUUCGUAGGUAACGUUCAAUAGACAGCCUAAAUAUUGAAGAUUAAGAGGCUAUAAAACAUAUUGGUACGGAAAAAAAAGAAAAAGACAAAAAAACUUCAUCACUACAAAUUUUAGUGGCGCUAGACAUAAAAAUUUCUUUGAGUUUUCUAAAUCUUUAAAUUAUUUUAUGCCUUAUCUGGCCAAACUAUGCGUACCUGAUUCUCAUUUCGAUGAGAUACGUAGGCAACCCUUCUUGGGUUCGGUAUUAUCUUUUUCAAAAAAAAAGAGUAAAAAGUAAAAAGUAAAAAAAAUAUAUAGUUUGUGCAUAUUUUCAAAGUUAUAUCUGCACGAACUAUGCGUACCUAAUUCUCAUGUUAAUGAGAACAUAGACAACCCUUCUUGGGUUCAGUAUAAUCUUCCAAAAAAAAAUUUAUAAAAUAGUCUGUGCAUAUUUUUUAAGCCAUAUCUGGUCGAACUACGCGUAUCUGAUUCUCAUUUCGGUGAGAUACGUAGGCAACCCUUCUUGGGUUCGGUAUUAUCUUUUUCAAAAAAAAAAUAAUUUAGAAAAUAGUUUGUGCAUAUUUUUCAAGCCAUAUCUGGCCGAACUACGCGUACCUGAUUCUCAUGUUAAUGAGAUAUGUAGGCAACCUUUCUCGGGUUUGGUAAUAAUUUUUUUUUAAAAAAAAAUUGUUUGUACAUACUGUUAGAGUCAUGUCUUCAACUCGGUCGGGACCUAUAUGGUUUAGAGCAUGUAAAUAUAUUCGAUAUGAUGAAAAAGAAUGAAUUUUGCGGUAAAUUACAGAUUCUCGUGGUACCUCUUAUCUGUACUUUUAUGAUGAUUGAAAAUUCUCUUGCAUUCAAUCAAGAUAAGAAUAAAACUAACCUUAUGUUUCAUGUGCAUUGUGUGGUGAGAUUUUGAUCAAAGUUCAAUUGUGUUACACUGUUGAUCUAGAACUUGACCUGAAUGUUUUUCGAGGCAAAAUCAUGAGUAAUGUUUGGUUUGAGAAAGGAUUGUAGGCCUUUUUGACCCGAUUGUGCCUUUCAAAGCCUACCAAAUUACAAUAAUCCCUAGCUUUCCCAUUUUGAGCCUGAAACCUUCAUUUGGACAACUACAUCUUAACCACUACCCUUUUGAGUGCUUACGAGCACUAUCCUCUCUUGGCCCAACCUUCUUGAGUGCACAAAGAAUGUGCAAAUUAUAAAAGAGAUCAAUGUUUGAAAUUUCAAAAAGCAAAGAUAUUGAGUCUCUCAAAAUCAAGGAAGCAAAGACUCUAGAGAAAAGAGAAAAAAAGUGGAAAAAAUAAAGAAAGGCAAAAAAUUCCUUUACAGGACCGGUGAAAGGUUGGAAGGAAAAUAUUCCAACAAAAAAAGGGAAAAAUUAUUAUAAUAAAGAAGUGAAUAAAGAAAAGCUUCAACGAAUAAGGAAUCAAAAAAAGAAAAAAAAAAAAAAAAAAGGGGGAAGUGUUCAAAAUGAGAAUUCAAAAGAAUUUGAAAGCUGGGAGAACAAUGAAGAGGAUCUAACGCCAAAAAGGCGUACCAAUCAUUAAAAACACAAAUUCUGUGUAACACUCAAGGAGGAAUUCAGUCACUUUUAUCUCAAAUAAAUAUCCGACCCAUCCCUAAACCUACGUUAGAAGCCAAUGACAAGCCCUACAUGAUCCCAUUCCAAAUGUUCUCACAUUAGUGGAGAUUUACAUAAGGGUCAAGCAUAUGGUAUUACACUUGUGUGCAUUGAACAUUCUUGUGAGUGUGAGUGCACUUUGAAAAAUGUCCUAUAACCAAAUGUUUCAAAUAUGUGUGAAAUAGGACUAGACUUUGUCGCGAGGGCAUUUGAAACAUGAGGAUUGAUACAAUUCAAAAUCUUUGUUUGAAACAAGACGAACGGAUCUUGUCAAUCCUUAAGUAUAUUUGAGGUACCACUUGAAGCUGUAUGAAUUACCUUAAUUCAAUCUUUAAAAAAAAUAAUGAGAGAUUUACCUGCAAUUUUAACUGUUGGUACCAAUCGUGGUGAAAAUUUGACUAUCUCAUCGCAUUUUUAUUUUUGAAAAAAAAAAAAAAAUUGUCUUUUGAGUUGUUCAUUAUAAAAGGUGUUGUUAAGUUAAUCUUAUAUAUGUGAGACGCCUAUUUUACUUCAUUCGAUUGUCCAUCCGCAAAAUGUGAUAUGUCUUGUUUUAGGCUUUGAAUAUAGCAAAGGAUACCAUUUGCAUACUCCAUCAUGUUCAUAUUGUGCAUUUUCUACUGAUAAUCUUUUAGAUUCUUUGUAGCACUCAUCACCCACAAGAGGGAAACUACGUUUGACCUGAUUCCUGCUCCAAUGGGAUACGUAGGCGCCACAACGGCUCGGUCAUAUACACAGUAAGAUUUCCAUUUCUCUUCAUAAUAGAAACUGGGACAGAAAUUUUGAGAGGAUCUCAAAAAUUCUUUUGAGGUUGGAAUAUUAUCGAGUCAUCCACCUUGUUACAGUUGGAAUAUUAUCGAGCCAUCCACCUCGUUAUAGUUGGAAUAUUAUAGAGCCAUCCACCUCGUUACAGUUGGACUAUUAUCGAGCCAUCCACCUCGUUACAAUUGAACUAUUUUCGAGCAUCCACCUUGUUACAGUUGAAAUAUUAUCGAGCGAUCCACCUCGUUACAGUUGGAAUAUUAUUGAGUCAUCCACCUCGUUACAGUUGGAAUAUUAUUGAGCCAUCCACCUCUUUACAGUUGGACCAUUAUCGAGCCAUCCACCUCGUUACAGUUGGACUAUUAUCGAGUCAUCCUCCUCGUUACAGUUGGAAUAUUAUUGAGCAUCCACCUCGUUACAGUUGGACCAUUAUCGAGCAUCCACCUCGUUACAGUUGGAAUAUUAUCGAGCCAUCCACCUCGUUACAAUUGGACUAUUUUCGAGAAUCCACCUCGUUAAAGUUGGAAUAUUAUCGAGCGAUCCACCUCGUUACAGUUGGAAUAUUAUCGAGCCAUUCACCUCGUUACAGUUGGAAUAUUAUCGAGCCACCCACCUCGUUACAGUUGGAAUAUUAUCGAGCCAUCCACCUCGUUACAGUUGGAAUAUUAUCGAGCCAUCCACCUCGUUACAGUUGGACCAUUAUCGAGCAUCCACCUUGUUACAGUUGGAAUAUUAUCAUACCAUCCACCUCGUUAUAGUUGGAAUAUUAUCGAGCAUCCACCUCGUUACAGUUGGACCAUUAUCGAGCAUCCACCUCGUUACAGUUGGAAUAUUAUCGAGCCAUCCACCUCGUUACAGUUGGAAUAUUAUCGAGUCAUCCACCUCGUUACAGAUGGAAUAUUAUCGAGUUAUCCACCUCGUUACAGAUGGAAUAAAAUGAUGCAUCGAGAGAAAAUUCAUGCAUUGCGAGAAGAUUUUGUACCUCGCAGAAAAUUCAUGCAUCACGAGAAGAUUUCAUACCUCGCAGGAAAUUCAUGCAUCGCGAGAAGAUUUCAUACCUCGCAGAAAAUUCAUACAUAGCAAGAAGAUUUUAUACCUUGCGGAAUUCAUGCAUCACUAGUUAAUUCAUGCAUCUAGAGUGAAUAUUCAUGCAUCGCGAGUUAAUUCAUGUAUUGGGAGUUAAUAUUCAUGCAUUGCGAGUUAAUAUUCAUGCAUCACGAAUUAAUAUUCAUGCAUCGAGAUUUAAUUCAUGCAUCGCGAGAAAAUCUUAUACCUCGCAGAAAUUUUUAUGGAUCGCGAGAAGAUUUCAUACCUCGUAGAAAAUUCAUGCAUUGAGAGAAGGUUUCAUACCUCGCAGAAAAUUCAUGCAUCGCGAGAAGAUUUCGUACCUCGCAGAAAAUUCAUGCAUCGCGAGAAGAUUCUAUACCUCGCAGAAAAUUCAUGCAUCACUAGUUAAUUCAUGCAUCAGGAGAUAAUAUUCAUGCAUCGAGAGUUAAUAUUCAUGCAUCGAGAGUUAAUAUUCAUCCAUCGAGAGUUAAUAUUCAUGCAUCGAGAGUUAAUUCAUGCAUCGAGAGUCAAUUCAUGCAUCACUAGUUAAUAUUCAUGCAUCGAGAGUUAAUAUUCAUGCAUCGAGAGCUAAUAUUCAUGCAUCGAGAGUCAAUUCAUGCAUCACUAGUUAAUAUUCAUGCAUCGAGAGUCAAUUCAUGCAUCGAGAGUCGAUUCAUGUAUCGCGAGUUAAUUCAUGCAUCACUAGUUAAUAUUCAUGCAUUGCGAGUUAAUAUUCUUGCAUCGCGGAUUAAUAUUCAUGCAUCGCGAGUUAAUAUUCUUGCAUCGCGGAUUAAUAUUCAUGCAUCGCGAGUUAAAUUUUUAUGCAUCGCGAGAAGAUUCACUACCUCGCAAAUUUGAACAUCGCGGAAAGAUAUUCAUGCCCUGCAAGCAAUCAUGCACUGCUAGAAAAAGAAUCGUGCAUCUCAAAGGAAAUAUUUAUCCCUCAACGUCAACUAACAUUAAAUGCCGAGGUGAGAAAUUGAGUGUCGACACGGUGGAAGACACUGUCUCCCAUUUGAAUUGCAUUUUAAGCUGACGAGUUUUAUCUCAGUCUUUGUCAAGUGCAUUCAAAAGGAUGAAUUUCAUUAAAAAAAAACAGGUGCAAACCACUUCAACAAGGACGCAACGCAUUAUAGAACCUUUUGGAGACAGGUCUGGAAUUGACUUCAACCACAUGCACCCGCACUUCUCUACAAAGGUCAUGUGUUCAGUCAAAAUUGGGUUUGUCAAUUUUCGUUGUCCACGAUUUCUUUCAUCAAUCAUACACAACGAUAGGGACAGCUGUUGACACCCAAUUUUGGCCUAACAUUUUUAAAAAUUCGUAAUUUGAGGCCACAAUACUAAGCCUGUCAUUUGAGCCCAUUUUGAGUUUUUAUUUAACUUACUAACUAGGUCAAAAUUUGGGGGAGCAAUUUUCAGGAAAAAUAAAGGGAGAAAACCUUCCCCUCCCUCUCUCCACAGACCCCAGCCCCUCCCUUUUCCCCCUUCCCUCGCCCCCUUCACUCUCUUCUCCCGUCGCUCCCCCUUCCCUCUCCCUUUUCCCUUUUCCGUCAGCCCCUCUCCCUCCCUCUUCUCCCCUCAUCCUCUCGUCUCUCUUCUCCUCCGGCGAAUAGCCAUGGAAUCAGCUCACCUCCGAGCUCACGCCACCACUGACGAGGAUGAAGCAGCAGUGCCAUCAGUCGCCAACUUCUCCAGUGAAAACAAUAAACAACAACAACUCCAAACGGACAGUAGCUCAAGCCAUCUCCCUUCUUCUCCUUUGUUCCCUUCCCCCUCUUUCUCCGGCGAGUAACAGCCAGCAGGCGAGACGGACAACAGCAAGCCAUCAGCCGCCAGCCCCUCUCCCUCUUUCCGUUCGCCUCCCAGCCACUCCCUCUUCUCUCUUCCCUCCAAACCCACCUCCACAAACCACCGACAACCUCCACUAACAACCUCACCAAACAAAACCCCCAUCCCAUUUUUCCUUCACAUUUUUAUUAUUUCAUUUUUUUUCAUUGCAGAUGAAUGAACCAAGGAGGUAUUAGCUCUAAAAAAAAUCAUCAAGUUUCGAGGCUUAUCAAUGGGAAACAAUCCAGAUCCAGCGUACAAUAGCUCCAAUGAGCUUUGAUAUUUUUCUUCAAUUUCUGGUAGAAAUCUUGAACUAUUUUACCAGUUUUUUGUUGAUUUUGUUCUAUGUUGAAUUUCACAUUUCACUUGAACAUUUUUAUGUGGCUGCUUGUUUGGAAAUCUAUUCUGUUUAAGUAGAUUACUUUUAUUUAUUUAUCUUAUGUUUACUUUACGUUUAAGUUUACACUUCCUAUCUUGCUAAAAUUGUUCAUUGGAUAUUUAAAUAGCAUUACAUUGUUAUUUUUUCUUUUAGAAUACUUUUACUUACAUUAUUUUAUAUAUAUAGAGAUAAAUUCUUUUAGAUUGUUAACUCCGACGAUUAUUAUGUUAGCAAUUUCAUUUGGGUUUGUUUGAUUUCAAAAUAGGAUAGUGAAUUCUAUUUUUUCUAGCGAGCUCCAUGCUUCAAUCCUUAUAUCUUGGUUACUGUCAUGUGAAUGCUUGUUAGAUUUCAUUUAUUUGCGGUUUUUUUUAGCUAUUGCUUCUAGUUUACUGUUAUUUUUAUUAGUUAAUAUAAUUUGUUUUCUUUCAAUUAUUAGUUAAAUGAUAACAUAUGUAAAGGUUAAAUUCAAUUAAUGAAGGCUGGUGUUAUAUUUUAGUUCCUUAGCUUAUUAAAUGUUGAAGUUGGGAUUUCAUUACUUGAAUGUUGUUUUGUCUUUUACAUUAAGCUUUUAUUUGCAGUUUUGCUCAUUGUUUCAACAUUUUUAAUUAUACAUACUUCUUGCUCGUUGAAUUUUAAACUAAAUGGGCCAAUGAGAAAACUUUCCGUCGGUUUUGGAGGCCUUCCCAUUUUAAAAAGACGGAAUUUUAACUCAAGUUUAUAUAUUUUAGUUGUUAAAAGGGCCGAUGAAAAAUCUAUACGUCGGGUUUAGAGGCCUUCCCAUUUUACAAGGACGGAAUUUUAACUCAAGUUUAUAUAUUUUAGUUGUUAAAAGGGCCGAUGAAAAAUCUAUCCGUCGGGUUUAGAGGCUUUCCCAUUUUAAAAAGAUGGAAUUUUAAGUCAAGUUUAUAUAUUUUAGUUGUUAAAAUGGCCAAUGAAAAAUCUAUCCGUCGGGUUAAGAGGCCUUCCCAUUUUAAAAGACGGAAAUCUAAUUUAAAGUUUAUGUAUAAUUUUAGUUAUUGGAAUUGGCCGAUGAAGAAAUUACCGUCGAUUUCCAAGGCCUCCCAUGUUAAUAAGACGGAUUUUUAUUUUUAAUUAUUAUUUGGUUUAUUCAAUUUUAAUCAUAUUUAUUCUUUACUAACACUUUUUCUAAGUGUGUUUACAGGUACCCGGAGGUGCUUUUCCUUUUAUUUCAUUAUUGUAAAUAUUGACGUUAGGCAAACCUUAGGCUGAUAAUUAUUAUUUUAUUUUAUUGUGCAUAUUAAAUGUUUAUUAUACUUGUACAUAAUUUUAUAUUCUUCCUCAAUUUGAAAAAAAAAUGAAUUCAGUCGGGAACCACAUUUGUGGAUUCCGAAGGGUGCCUAACCCCUUCCAUUCGGAAUAACUUGAACUCCUUACCUAGAAUCAAUUUUGUUUUCUAGAUAAAUAAUUGGUUUCCUAGUUUUCCUAAAAUUAGGUGGCGACUCUUUUUUAAAACUCGUUUAUUUUUAAAACUUUGUUAAAAUUGAACAAUUAAUUAUUUUCGAGUUACCGCAAUGUUUCGCCCUAUUUCGAAAG